UGCCAGCCGCCGCGGUAAGACGAACCGUACGAACGUUAUUCGGAAUUACUGGGCUUAAAGGGUGCGUAGGCUGCACGGAAAGUUAGACGUGAAAUCCCCGGGCUCAACCUGGGAACUGCGUUUAAUACUAGCAAGCUAGAGAAAUAGAGAGGAAAGUGGAACUCCCAGUGUAGAGGUGAAAUUCGUAGAUAUUGGGAAGAACACCAGUGGCGAAAGCGACUUUCUGGCUAUUUUCUGACGCUGAGGAGCGAAAGCGUGGGGAGCAAACAGGAUUAGAUA
rnacentral:rRNA from 1 species